GUCUACGGCCAUGCCACCCUGAAUGUGCCCGAUCUCGUCUGAUCUCAGAAGCUAAGCAGGGUCAGUCCUGGUUAGCACUUGGAUGGGAGACCACCUUGGAAUACCAGGUGCUGUAGGUA
rnacentral:rRNA from 1 species